CCUACGGGUGGCAGCAGUGGGGAAUAUUGCACAAUGGGGGAAACCCUGAUGCAGCGACGCCGCGUGAGUGAAGAAGUAUCUCGGUAUGUAAAGCCCCAUCAGCAGGGAAGAAAAUGACGGUACCUGAUUAAGAAGCCCCGGCUAACUACGUGCCAGCAGCCGCGGUAAUACGUAGGGGGCAAGCGUUAUCCGGAUUUACUGGGUGUAAAGGGAGCGUAGACGGCAGCGCAAGUCUGAAGUGAAAUGCCGGGGCUUAACCCCGGAACUGCUUUGGAAACUGUGCAGCUAGAGUGCAGGAGAGGUAAGUGGAAUUCCUGGUGUAGCGGUGAAAUGCGUAGAUAUUAGGAGGAACACCAGUGGCGAAGGCGGCAUACUGGACUGUAACUGACGUUGAGGCUCGAAAGCGUGGGGAGCGAACAGGAUUAGAUACCCGGGUAGUC
rnacentral:rRNA from 1 species